rnacentral:piRNA from 1 species
UGCCAUGGAAAUGAUAUUGGAUGUUGGU